GAGGCUUCGGCAAUGGGGGAAACCCUGACCGAGCGACGCCGCGUGGGGGAUGAAGGCCCUUGGGUUGUAAACCCCUUUUGUUCGGGAAGAAAUGCGAUCAGGUGAACAAUCUGGUCGUUUGACGGUACCGGACGAAUAAGCUCCGGCUAACCCCGUGCCAGCAGCCGCGGUAACACGGGGGGAGCAAGCGUUGUUCGGAAUCACUGGGCGUAAAGGGCGUGUAGGCGGUCAGGUAAGUGUGAUGUGAAAUCCCUCGGCUCACCCGAGGACCGGCAUCGCAUACUGCUGGGCUUGAGUACGGGAGAGGAUGUGGGAAUUCCUGGUGUAGCGGUGAAAUGCGUAGAUAUCAGGAGGAACACCGGUGGCGAAGGCGCACAUCUGGCCCGAUACUGACGCUGAGGCGCGAAAGCUAGGGGAGCAAACGGG
rnacentral:rRNA from 1 species